AUGAUUUCUAAAAGUCAUAAUAUUUGAAUAGGUUAAUUCAUUCCCGGUUCUCCACCAACACUUUUCUCAGCUGGGACCGUGCACAGCCAAUUCGUGUCUUAGACUCUUAGGCCACAAUCGAGAGAUCAGUACAUUCAAAGGGAACAAGAAUUGGAUGAAAGCUCGUGGGGCCUCUUGAAGUGUGAGAAGCGUGGCCUAUCAGAUUCAGGCGCAUUCGAUGGUGUUCUUGAGCUCCUUAUCCGAGGUCGAUGAAGCCUGCCAGAAGCCGUAAUUAUGAUGAUUUCUGAGGCGUGGCAGAAUGAUGUAAACAUGGAACCUGAGAAGAGAGCCCUCUACGAGUUGAGCCUUGGGAUGGGCCUGCUCUAAUAUCUUGUAAUUUUCUUAACCCAUUUCCUGAUGGAUUACUUGAGCUAGCUUCGGUUUCACCAUUAGUUACUGAUAGUGGUUACCUUGGAGCUACCCUCGACCACAUGGCAUGAGGCUUGGUCGAUUUUACGUGACCGACAGUGGACGUGUAGUCAUGGGUUGUGAAGUUGGUGUUGUGGAUAUUCCUACUGAGGAUGUACUGA